AGAGUGGAAACCAGUAAUAUAACAAUUCAGUUUAUUUUUAGUUAUUUUUCCAGACAGACACAUCAAUUUCUGGACCACAGUAGAGGAUGGAAACCUUUCACAGACAUAUUUUUUUUGUCAAUAUUAUUAUUUGAAAAUACAAAUAUAAAAUUAGACUUUCCACAUUUGAUAUGUGAGAGACCCCCAUCCAUUAUUAUCACCAUUAUUAUUUCAGAAUAUUUUUACAAUAGGGCUUGAGCAAAGCCAUAUGAUAACCUGAAAGAUGCUUUCAGAUGUCAGUCAAGUCUGUCUGUCUCUCGCCAUAAAAAGUCGGUUAACAUAAAAAAACAGGGGCAAGUGUUAGGAAUGGGCCGGCGGCAGCGAGCGCGGCUCUGUGCUCGGCCUGCGGAGACGUGGAAGCACAGCAGAGCCUCUCGCUGCCGGCCGGGCGCUCUGAAGGGGGGCGUCUGGGCUCCACCCCGCUCCCCCUCUCGGGUGUGUGUGUGCGUUCUGCUCCGUCCAGACGCCGGCGGGCGGAGGGAGUGAAAUCAUGUCUUCGAACGUCAGCUAGUGAGAGCAUGUUUCGACUAAAUGCACGAGGAAUAUUUCGUAUACAGCUGAGGUCUCCAGUCUAGUAUUUUCACACAAAGUCAAAAUGGGUGAAAAUUGCAAAUAUAUAUAUAUAUAUAUAUAUAUAUAUAUAUAUAUAUAUAUUGCAACUGUUGGUAUACUUAACAAUGAAUGCGGCUGAGAUGGUUUGAAGGGAAAUUCACCCUAAAACGUGACCUCAUGUGAGAACUUGUGUUAUUUCUGUCACCUUGACGAGUUCAGUCGACGUUUCUGAACCUGAACCGUUUUUAUAUUUAUAUCCUGUAACAAGAGGAGCCAAAACUAUAAAUAUAAAGUGUUGGCGAGUCACUUUGUGGCCUCGGAGACUAACUUUGUGGUCACUGUGACUGUAGCCAGUAUCUCUCAGAGAUAAGGGCACAUAGUCUGGCUUUAAACCAUUUAGCACCACUGUGAUUAAGCCUCUCUUCGUCUUUCUCUCUCUCUUUUUAUUUUCUGGGGUUAAAAAUGCUCUACAACAUUCCAUGAGCCGUCAAGGUCAGUCGAGAGUGACCGGAAGUACAGCGAAGUCUGAGCCUUACGAUAAAACCAGUGAAUUGAGCUGAAACAAAAUGAAGACUGCAUGCUUUGGACAGAAAUAUCAGAAGCGUGUGCAGUUUUAGGGUGGGAUUUUCCACUAAUGAAUGGGGGAUAUUAUGGUUUGGCCAUUGCCUAGCACUUGCCUCGAGAUUCAAGUUUAAAUGGAUACGGUAGUACACUACAAAUGUCAACACCAUUCCAGGUUGACUUUUUUUGAAUCUUUUUUUUUUUUUUUGAGAUUACUUUUCUUUCCUUUGUUUUUUGUUUUUCUUAAACUGAGACCCGUCCCCUCUCCCCGAAUGGAUAAGCUAGUCUACUAAGAUGUGUAACAUUCAUCAGCUGUAAACUGCUGUCAGUUUGAGAAUAAAUGAAAUUACAGCAAGAGCCAUGCUACCUUAAAGUCCAAGCUACAAGAUACGAAACAAAAAUAGCAUUUUCUAGUAUUGUGCAAGGGGCAAAAAUGAACCAUUUCAAUGUUUUCCCUCCGCCCCCCUUUUUUAAAUGAAUUUAUGGGCAAUUAUAGUUAAAGAGCCACCCAGAGCUGAAAAAAAUCACAUAGUGUGCAACUCAGGCGAUGCUCUCUUUAUUUCUGUCUGAAUAAGGCUGAAAUUUUAGUGCCACCGGAUAAACAAAUUGUUAAAAUUAUAAGUGGCAUAUCCUAUUUCCUUCCUUAAUGAUUCAAUAUCAAUGAAUUAUUUAUUGUUCCAGACAUAAGGACAAUUAAAAUCAUUGAAAUGUACUUACCUUUAAAUAAAACACCCUGUGUGCUUGUUUGAAUUGACUGGCGAUCAAGCAGUCCUCUACUCCAAAUACUGCAUGUAAUCUAGCAGAAUAGAGCAGCUGACAGCGCCUCGGAAAGGUAUUCAUACCCCUUGAACUUUUUCAUGUUUCCAAGCAAAAACAGCGAAUCUCUGUGUGUAACAGACCAACACAAACCAGAGCAGGACUGUGAACAAUUCAGGCACUAUAGAGUUUGCAAAAAGCCACACAGGCACACGGCAAACAUGAGAUAAAAAUGCAACUUUUUGAGGCAGACAAUUUAAACCCGACAUCACCCUGAACACAACUUCCCCCAUUAGAACAUGGCAGUGGAAGUAUCAUGCUGUUGGGAUGUUUUUUUCUUCAGCAUGGACAGGGAGGCUACUGGUGUCCAAAAAAAGACACAAGAAGCUAAAAGCUGAGCAGUUCUGCAAGGAAACCUGCUGCAAAAAAACACUUGAGAUUUCUAUGUGAUCAGAUUCGAUCCAGACUGAAAUACAAUUGAAAACUCGUGGCGAGAUUUGUUACUGUUCAGAGAGUCUCCUUCCAAUCUCAGUGGGAUAGAGACAGUUCGCCAAGAAGGUCAGCAUCUAGAAGUGCAAAUCUGGUAGAGACUUACACCAAAAUACAAGCAGGUGUAACUGAACGGUGGUUCUGCAAUAUGAAUGCAAACGCACGCCACACUUUUCAGAUUUUAAUUUGUGGAAAAAAAAUAAAAAGUAGAACCAAUUUUGUUCAACUUCACAAAUGUGUUUCUCGAGGAAAUGCAUCAAUGUUUGUGGAUGUAAUAUGACAAAGUAUGAAAAAGUUCAAGGAGUACGAAGUGAGGUGAUGUAACCCAAAUAUACGCCAUAAAAUGUUAGAAAUUAUGAAGCAAAAUUAUGCCACCGGAAGAUAAAGUGGACUGAAUUGAGAGCACCUCUUAUCAAAAUUUAGGGUAUAAAAUGUUCUUGAAUCCAGCAAUGAGUUAAAAUGCCAGUCUGGUUCUACACUGAACUAAAACAUCUAAUAAUGUUGGCAAACAAACAACAGCUAUUAUUUAUUUAAAGUCUUCUUCUUUAAUGAAGUGUGUUGUGCUGUUUUGUAGAGUAUGACAUCUGGAAACGGUUUGAAAUCAUCUUUUUUUUUUUUUUUUUUUUAAAUCCAGAAAGUGAUUUGUACUUGAAUAAUUAAAGACCAGAGAGUUUUAUCAAACCUCUGGUGUGACUGAUGUUGGAGUUUAAUUUUUCUAGUCAUUUUUCUAAUUUGCUUUUACGUGUUCCUCCUACAAAAAAAAACAAAAAAAACAGCUCUGUCUAGCAUUAGCAUUUAAGGUAGUAUGGCACACCCCUUUUAAAACAUUCAAGGGUGGGGAUCCAAAUAAUGCCUUGUGUACAAUUCCAUCUUACAGCAACAAUUUCUCCAUUGUUCAUCCGUGAGAGCUUUGGUUAGCUGAAACCAUGUUAGAGUGGCAAAAAAACAAAAAACAACAAAAAAAACAACAACAAAAAAAAAACUGAAGGAAAAAAAACAACAAAAGAACAAAAAAGAAAACAAAACCUAAACAAACGUACAGGGAAUAAAUUACAACAAACAAAUAUCAGAACAACAUGAUCAUUGAGAGAAAGAUCUAUCUUGACUGGUUCUAAAUCCACUAUUCACUACAAGUAUUAUAUAAAUGAGUCCUAUAUAACAUCUACUUUGUAAUUACAGGAGAUAGAAAAAGAGCGCGAGGAGGGAGGGGGGGCUAAAUAUGAGAGAAAGGAGAGGUAGAGCGAGGGAGAACAACAAAGCACUACACUGGUAUCAAAGACAGCACUCUGUUUACAAGUUAACUGUGAUUUCUUUACACACUAAUGAAGUACAUGGAUGAGCAACAAAAGAUGGCGGCAUCUCUGAGGAUGUGGCAUGGAAAGAGAGAACGUAAUGGAUGCACAGUACAUUUUUAAUAGUAUAAUACAAUUAUUAAUAUAGAAACCACAAAGUAUCAAUAAAACUCUGAUUAAACUUGAAAUCAGCAAAGCGUCUUUCUUUUUUUGUCUUUUGUUUUUUACUUUUGUAUUUCUUCUUAUACAUUUGAACAUUACAAGUUUUUUUUUUUCCUUUAAAUUAUUACUUGACCACACCUCCAUAUCAUUUACUUUAGAAGUAUCCAGCAUAUUUAUUACCUGGUUGUUUUAAAAGAAAGAAAGAAAAAAAAAAAAAGAAAGGAAACAAGUGCAUAAAAAAAGAAAACAACGGCAUUGAUAAAAUUUAAAAACCAGACCGCACUCUGGCGUGUAACAUUACUAUUAUUAUUAUUUAAUAAUAAAUCGAUGUCAAGAAUAAAACCUUUUUUUGUAACCACACUAAUAUACGGUGUAAAGCCGAGUGCGGCUACAGAUAGUGAAUAAUUCAGUGUCAUCUUUUGACCCUGUAUAAAUAUCCUCAGGUGACACGUGGGUCUAAAGGAUAGAAAUCCAAGUGUACGCUGCGACACGCCCGUUUUCACAUCCCGAGCUGCUUGUCCGGUUGGGAACACGUUAACCCCUCCCCCCGGCCCCACCCCAAGCGACCCGUCCUGACCGCCGGUAGAUCCUUCAUGCUGUCCCAAAGCACAAGGCCGUUUGUAAAAAGCCAACAUACACAUGUGCAAACAAGAGGAUGGCCUGUACUUCACAACUCACAGUGCAGCGAUUACUCGCUGUAAAAUAGCCUUUCAGUGUUUUCUUUUGCAGUUUUUUUUUUUUUUUUUGACAUUUCCGCCACUAGAAUAAAUUAAAAACCCGCCGAUGAUUCCACGGUAGAAGUCACGAAGGCUGAGGUAUGGUAUCAAAAUGUUUACUGUCCUAAUUCAUUCAAAACAGAACCGAUUCAAAGAACAAGCAGUAUAUAUAUAUUUAUAUUUAUAUAUAUAUAUAUGUAGAUAAAAAGGCUCGAGCAUGGAGCCCAGGUACUUUGUUCCAUGACGUGAAUCAGGAACAAGCAGGAUGAAACGGACAUUAAACACAUAUACAGCUAACAUGUUCCUCUCAGCAGUAGAAAAGCGUCAGGAUGCGCAGAGCUCUGCGAAAUGCCCGCUUCAAGUUCGAACCAUCGCGUAUCUUCGUACAGUGUGCUUUGGAUAAAAAUCUUUAACUUUUCCUCUCUCUCUCUCUCUUCGUCUCUCCCACAUUGAAGUGAUCUUUAAAUCAUAAUUGCUGUUCUGUCUCUAAAACGCCAUUUAGACUAAACUCACCGGUCAUAAAUUUGCUGGUAUGACACUUUUAAAACGAUGUUCCGCGUUCAGUAUUUACAACGGCUGUUUGUGGGCUUUGUUAUACCGUCUCUCAGCAGAAACAAAACAAAAAAACAAACAAAAAA